rnacentral:rRNA from 1 species
UGGGGAAUAUUGCACAAUGGGCGAAAGCCUGAUGCAGCAACGCCGCGUGAGUGAUGAAGGUCUUCGGAUUGUAAAGCUCUGUCUUUUGGGACGAUAAUGACGGUACCAAAGGAGGAAGCCACGGCUAACUACGUGCCAGCAGCCGCGGUAAUACGUAGGUGGCGAGCGUUGUCCGGAUUUACUGGGCGUAAAGGGUGCGUAGGCGGAUGUUUAAGUGAGAUGUGAAAUACCCGGGCUUAACUUGGGUGCUGCAUUUCAAACUGGAUAUCUAGAGUGCAGGAGAGGAGAAUGGAAUUCCUAGUGUAGCGGUGAAAUGCGUAGAGAUUAGGAAGAACACCAGUGGCGAAGGCGAUUCUCUGGACUGUAACUGACGCUGAGGCACGAAAGCGUGGUAGCAACAGGAUUAGAUACC